rnacentral:rRNA from 1 species
ACUACGGGCGGCAGCAGUGGGGAAUAUUGCGCAAUGGGCGAACGCCUGACGCAGCGACGCCGCGUGAGGGAUGAAGGUCUUCGGAUCGUAAACCUCUGUCAGCAGGGAAGAAAGGUCACUGUGCUAAUCAGCAGUGAAUUGACGGUACCUGCAAAGGAAGCACCGGCUCACUCCGUGCCAGCAGCCGCGGGAAUACGGAGGGUGCGAGCGUUAAUCGGAAUUUCUGGGCGUAAAGCGCUCGUAGGCGGUAUGUCAAGUCAAGGGGGAAGUCCCCGCGCUCAACGGGGGAACGGCCGUUGAAACUGGCAAACUGGAGUGGGUGAGAGGAUAGUGGAAUUCCAGGUGUAGGAGGGAAAUCCGUAGAUAUCUGGAGGAACAUCAGUGGCGAAGGCGACUAUCUGGCACAUAACUGACGCUGAGGAGCGAAAGCGUGGGUAGCAAACAGGAUUAGAUACCCGAGUAGUC